UCCUGGCUCAGGACGAACGCUGGCGGCGUGCCUAAUACAUGCAAGUCGAGCGGACUUUCAAGAAGCUUGCUUUUUGAAAGUUAGCGGCGGACGGGUGAGUAACACGUGGGCAACCUGCCUGCAAGACGGGGAUAACUCCGGGAAACCGGGGCUAAUACCGGAUAAUAUCUUCCUUCGCAUGAAGGAAGGUUGAAAGGCGGCGCAAGCUGCCGCUUGCAGAUGGGCCCGCGGCGCAUUAGCUAGUUGGUGAGGUAACGGCUCACCAAGGCGACGAUGCGUAGCCGACCUGAGAGGGUGAUCGGCCACACUGGGACUGAGACACGGCCCAGACUCCUACGGGAGGCAGCAGUAGGGAAUCUUCCGCAAUGGACGAAAGUCUGACGGCGCAACGCCGCGUGAGCGAAGAAGGUCUUCGGAUCGUAAAGCUCUGUUGUCAGGGAAGAACAAGUACCGUUCGAACAGGGCGGUACCUUGACGGUACCUGACCAGAAAGCCACGGCUAACUACGUGCCAGCAGCCGCGGUAAUACGUAGGUGGCAAGCGUUGUCCGGAAUUAUUGGGCGUAAAGCGCGCGCAGGCGGUCUCUUAAGUCUGAUGUGAAAGCCCACGGCUCAACCGUGGAGGGUCAUUGAAUGCGUAGAGAUGUGGAGGAACACCAGUGGCGAAGGCGGCUCUCUGGUCUGUAACUGACGCUGAGGCGCGAAAGCGUGGGGAGCGAACAGGAUUAGAUACCCUGGUAGUCCACGCCGUAAACGAUGAGUGCUAAGUGUUAGAGGGCUUCCACCCUUUAGUGCUGCAGCUAACGCAUUAAGCACUCCGCCUGGGGAGUACGGCCGCAAGGCUGAAACUCAAAGGAAUUGACGGGGGCCGCACAAGCGGUGGAGCAUGUGGUUUANUUCGAAGCAACGCGAAGAACCUUACCAGGUCUUGACAUCCUUCGCUACCUCUAGAGAUAGAGGGUUCCCCUUCGGGGGACGGAGUGACAGGUGGUGCAUGGUUGUCGUCAGCUCGUGUCGUGAGAUGUUGGGUUAAGUCCCGCAACGAGCGCAACCCUUGACCUUAGUUGCCAGCAUUCAGUUGGGCACUCUAAGGUGACUGCCGGUGACAAACCGGAGGAAGGUGGGGAUGACGUCAAAUCAUCAUGCCCCUUAUGACCUGGGCUACACACGUGCUACAAUGGAUGGUACAAAGGGUCGCGAAACCGCGAGGUGGAGCUAAUCCCAAAAAACCAUUCUCAGUUCGGAUUGCAGGCUGCAACUCGCCUGCAUGAAGCCGGAAUCGCUAGUAAUCGCGGAUCAGCAUGCCGCGGUGAAUACGUUCCCGGGCCUUGUACACACCGCCCGUCACACCACGAGAGUUUGCAACACCCGAAGUCGGUGAGGUAACCCUUACGGGAGCCAGCCGCCGAAGGUGGGGCAGAUGAUUGGGGUGAAGUCGUAACAAGGUAGCCGUAUCGGAAGGUGCGGCU
rnacentral:rRNA from 1 species